CAAAGGGAGCAAUCCCGGCCACGGAUGGGCAUGCGGCGCAUUAGCUAGUCGGCGGGGUAACGGCCCACCGAGGCGACGAUGCGUAGGGGUUCUGAGAGGAAGGCCCCCCACACUGGUACUGAGACACGGACCAGACUCCUACGGGAGGCAGCAGUGAGGAAUAUUGGUCAAUGGGCGCGAGCCUGAACCAGCCAAGUCGCGUGAGGGAGGACGGCCCUACGGGUUGUAAACCUCUUUUGCCGGGGAGCAACGGGCGUCACGUGUGGCGCCACUGAGAGUACCCGGAGAAAAAGCAUCGGCUAACUCCGUGCCAGCAGCCGCGGUAAUACGGAGGAUGCGAGCGUUAUCCGGAUUUAUUGGGUUUAAAGGGUGCGUAGGCGGAUCGUUAAGUCAGUGGUCAAAUUGAGGGGCUCAACCCCUUCCCGCCAUUGAAACUGGCGUUCUUGAGUGGAAGAGAAGUAUGCGGAAUGCGUGGUGUAGCGGUGAAAUGCAUAGAUAUCACGCAGAACCCCGAUUGCGAAGGCAGCAUGCCGGCUUCCGACUGACGCUGAAGCACGAAAGCGUGGGGAUCGAACAGGAUUAGAUACCCUGGUAGUCCACGCGGUAAACGAUGAGC
rnacentral:rRNA from 1 species